CACCCCUGCACCCCGUUCCCCCAGCCCUGCCCGCCCAUCCGGCCGACAGCGGCUCCCUCCAGGCUGGAGCAGUGGGGGGUGCCCGGGCUCCGGAGGUCCCGCCUCGCACCUCGCAGGCUCCAUCCACAGCUUCCCGCCUUCAGAGUCUCUGUGAGCUGUGGCUCUGCCUGUUGGCGGCGACCUGGAGAGGCGCGGGUGCCUGCACGCGGACACACGCACACCUGCACACGCACACACGCAUGCACGCACCUGCACAUGAACACACACCCCUACACACCCCCGCACACGCACACACACCUGCAAACACACGUGCCUGCACAUGCAUACACACACCUGCACAUGCACACACCUGCAUAUACACACACCUGCACACACCUGCACAUGCACAUACACCUGCCAAUACACACACCUACACAUGCACAAACAUGCAUAUGCCUGCAAACACACAUACACAUGCAUGCACACACCUGACGCACACGCACACACCUGCACACUCACUGGCACACCUGCACACACCCGCACUCGCACGCACACACCUGCACACACAAACCUGUACAUGCAUGCACAUACCUGACACACGCACACAUCUACACAUACCUGCAAACACACACACCUGCACAUGCACGGACACACCUGCACACACCUGCACUCACAUGCACAUACCUGCAAACACACACACCUGCACAUGCACGGACACACCUGCACACACCUGCACUCACAUGCACAUACCUGCACACACACCUGCACAUGCAUGCACACACCUGCCACACACGCACACACCUGCACACACCUGCAGUCUCACCCCACCUGCACACACACACACCUGUGACUCACACACCUGCACAUGCACAUACCUGAACACGCCUGGGUCUGACUCUCUUCCUCUUCCUCCUGGAUCGAAGGCUUAUAGCUCUUGCGUUUUUCACCCGAAAGCCUUCACCUAUUUGCACAUUUUCCUUCAAGUGGAGGGAAGCUUCGCAUUCAGUUUCCCCCUGUUCAGUGCCAGUGACUCUGGUCCUGAAAGUUCGACUCCGUGUGU
rnacentral:lncRNA from 1 species